rnacentral:misc_RNA from 1 species
CUCCCCAAAAUGUCGUGAUCUUGUUCUCAGCAAGGGAGCUUUGCUUCCUUUGUUGGCCCAGCUGAAUGAGCAUGCAAAGCUCUCAAUGCUGAGGAAUGCCACGUGGACACUAUCAAACUUCUGCAGGGGCAAGCCUCAGCCUCCAUUUGAACAGGUGAGGCCCGCACUUCCAGCACUUGAACGUCUUGUACAUUCAACUGAUGAAGAAGUUUUAACUGAUGCCUGUUGGGCACUUUCUUAUCUUUCUGAUGGUACAAAUGACAAAAUCCAAGCUGUGAUUGAGACGCAGGUGUCUGUCCCCGACUUAUUGAGCUCCUCCUCCAUCCAUCUCCUUCAGUGCUUGUUCCUGCCCUUCGCACUGUUGGAAAUAUUGUGACUGGGGAUGAUAUCCAGACUCAGUGUAUAAUAAACAAUGGUGCACUGCCAUAUCUUGUAAGCCUAUUGACUCAUAAUCAUAAAAAG